GUACCGCCCCAACAGUCAGCUGAACAGCCUGGUACUGCCCCAACAGUCAGGUGAACAGCCUGGUACUGCCCCAACAGUCAGGUGAACAGCCUGGUUUUUGCAUACGGAUCAGAGUGGAUCAGUUCACGUUAGAAUUAAAGACCGUUUCCAGUGCAUAAGGAUUUUUGGCAGCUCUUGAUUCCUGUGUGUAUGAUAUGAAAUAUAUACAAUGAUUACGUUUCCCUAACUGAGUGUGAAACCUGCACCAUCCCGUGUCAACAGACCCAGGAACACAGAGACGAGCCGAGAGACUCACACAAGCUGCAGGAACACAGAGAAAAAUACAAA